UGGGGAAUUUUGGACAAUGGGGGAAACCCUGAUCCAGCCAUCCCGCGUGUGCGAUGAAGGCCUUCGGGUUGUAAAGCACUUUUGGCAGGAAAGAAACGUCAUGGGUUAAUACCCCGUGUAACUGACGGUACCUGCAGAAUAAGCACCGGCUAACUACGUGCCAGCAGCCGCGGUAAUACGUAGGGUGCAAGCGUUAAUCGGAAUUACUGGGCGUAAAGCGUGCGCAGGCGGUUCGGAAAGAAAGAUGUGAAAUCCCAGAGCUCAACUUUGGAACUGCAUUUUUAACUACCGGGCUAGAGUGUGUCAGAGGGAGGUGGAAUUCCGCGUGUAGCAGUGAAAUGCGUAGAUAUGCGGAGGAACACCGAUGGCGAAGGCAGCCUCCUGGGAUAACACUAACGCUCAUGCACGAAAGCGUGGGGAGCAAACAGG
rnacentral:rRNA from 1 species